UGUUUAAAUUUAUGUAUUUCAAUAUACUUAAUUUAUUUAAAUUUUACACUAUAGGAAAUGUGGGUAUUAAUAGCAUCGUAGUAUAGCGUUUUUAACAUUUAUGCUAUUGUAUACCAACACUGACCUUUUUAAUAACGUUUAUAAAAUUUAAACGCUAUGUUUGUUAUCGCAAGAAAAUAAAAAAAUUUAGCCGCGUUAAUUUGCAAAGUGUAAAUGCCUUACCAUUGCAGAUCAAAAAUUCAGCGCUAUUGUAAAUAGACACAACACAUAAUUCUUUUUUCCUGCCAGAUACUAAGUGAAAAAAACAAGUGUCUAAUCUUUUUCAUUUUCCCUCUCAUCCUCGUUUUUCACUUCCCUCUCAUUCCGUUUCGUUUCUCAACCCUCCAAAAAAACCUAAACCCAAGCUAAACCAUAAAUCUUAUACCCUAAACUUAAAACAGAACCCUAAAGCUCAAGCAUUUUCUUAUUUUAAUUAUAAAUCUAAGCCUCAAACCCUAAAUUAUAUACUUAUAUAUAUCAUACCCUAAAUUAAUCACAUCCCCUAAACUCUAACUAAAAUUCUUAAAAUUCUAUUUUUUUUUAAUUUAAAAAAAUUAAUUUUAAUUUCAAAUCUCAAAUCUAAUACUCUAACCCUAAACUUAAAUAUAUACCAUACCCAAAAUCAUAUUACAUAUACUCUAAACUUAUAUUUUAAAACUCUAAAUUUUAAAUACAAAAUAAAUGUAAUCAAUAAUUUGAAUAUAAUUUAUUUUUUAUACAAAUAAAUUUAGUUAAACAAUAAAUUAUAAUCUCUAAAACAAUUAUUAAUAAAAAUAGUUUUGGAUUGAUUAAUUUUCGACCACUGAUUGGUUUUAUUCCAAAGGUUAGAAGUUAAUCUUAGUUAAUCUUAGUUAAUCCUAUUACUUUCUCUUUAUUGGUCAAUGAUUUGUGGCCAUUGAUUGUUUUUCUCCUGAGAUCAAUCUUCUCCAUCACUUGGCCAUCUUUUCUCAAUCUUCUCCAUCCAUCCUUGAAUCGUUAAACCUAAAAUAACAAAGUCUUCAGAUCUGCACACAGAGCUUGACUCUAAUCAACCUUUUACGAUUCAACCUGUCUGGAUUCAACCCUCUCUCUCUCUAUCUCUAUCUCUCUCACUCAGCCAUGAUGAAAGCUUCGGCGACAACGCUUGACUCGAGUCAGAGAUGGCGAGUGACAACAGAGCAGCGCCGGUGGCAAGGCGGAAGACGGAUGUCCUUCAUAAGCAGAGGAGGAGAAGAGGCUUCGAUGGUUCAGCUCGCCGGAGAUGAAUAAAGGGGAAGUCUCAGCAUCUCUUUGCCGUGAACCUCGCCGAGUUUGAUGAUGUUAAUGGAAAGGUGCUGAGUAACAAGACUGUUGGCGAAGGUGACGAUGCUUUCAACACCUUCUUCAGCGAAACCGGUGCAGGGAAGCAUGUCUCUCAUGCUGUCUUUGUCGACCUUGAGCCCACCAUGAUCGACGAGCUGUUUACAUGGGGUUGGAAUCAAAGAGGUACAUUAGGACAUCCACCAGAGACGAAAACAGAAAGCCAAUGUUAAGAUUACACUGAGAAAGGAAGGAAUGAGGAUUCUAGUCGGAAGAGAGAACUAGAAGGAGAGUCGGAGUAGACUCGUUGGUGUGAGUCCGAGAGAGAGACUUCGAGAGUGAGAGAGUUUUGAUUUUUUUAUCUAAGUGUUUAGGCUUGUUAGUCUUUUGUGGGAUGUUUUGUGCUUUAAUGAUAAAUUUUGGCUAAAAAUGAAUUGGAGCCAAAACCCCAAAAUAUUAUUGGAGCCAAAUCUUAUGGAGGAAAAUAUAACUGGAACAAAAUAUUAUCCUCUUGUAAUCCCUAAAACUAUGGAUUUUAAUAUUUUAAAGUAUAACCCCCUAAAACUAUAACCCUGAAGAUAGUCAUCCUUGUCCUUCUUGAUAGACCAAUAAUAAUAUUCCUUCAUUUUUCAAUCAUUAAUUAAUUGUGCUUUUUUUUAUUAAUUUUACAUGUAAUAUAAUUAUAUUAUAGUUUGAGUUUAAGUUUAAAAUUUAAAUAUAAGUUUAAUGAUCAGAUUUAUAGCUUGGAGAAUAAAACUAGAGAUUUAGGGUAUAUUGUAUGGAAUAUAGGGUUUGGGUUUAAGAAUGAGAUAUAUAUAUAUAUAAUUUAGGGAUAUAUAAUUUUAACAAAAUGACUUGCUAGACUUAUUUUUAACCCCUAAUCCCUAAAUAUACUCUAACCUUAAACCCUAAAUAUAAUCCUAAAAUCUAAAUUUUAAACUUUUAAACUUUAUAUAAAAAUAAAGUUCGAUAUAAAUAUACAUAUCAACCCGAAUCCAUCUAAUACCCUAAAUCUAAUACUCUAAACCCUAAGAUUCAAACUUAGAUGAUAUUCUAAAUACUAAAUAAAAUCUCUAAAUAAUUUUUUUUCCAGAUUUUAAAGCCAAAAUUCAAACUUAAAACUUUAAAUCUAAGUAUAUUUUAACACUCAAAUUAUACAAACUCUAAAUCUACUAAAUGCCAAACGUAAAUUCUCAUUAUAUAUAUCAUACCCCAAAUCAACUAUACACUUAUAUAUAUCAUACCCUAAAUUAAUCACAUCCCCUAAACUCUAACUAAAAUUCUUGAAAUUCUAAUUUUUAUUAGUUUAAUUUUUUUAAUUUUAAUUCAAAUCUCAGUUCUAAUACUCUAACCCUAAACUCUAAAUGUAUACCAUAACACAAAUCAUAUACCCUAAAUCAUAUUACAUAUACUCUAAACUCAUACUUUUAAACUCUAAAUUUUAAAUACAAAAUAAAUAUAACAAUAAUUAGAAUCUAAUUUAAUUUUAUAUAAACAAAUUUAGUUAAACAAUAAUUUCUAAAACAAUUAUUAAAAAAUAGUUUUGGAUUGGUUAAUUUUUGACCAUUUGAUUGUUUUUAAUCCAAUUGUUAAAAAUCAAUCUUAGUCAAUCCUCUCACUUUCUCCUUAUUGGUCAAUCUAUCAAAAACCAGGAUUACAAUUUGUGGUCACUGAUUAUUUUUGAUCCUGUGGCCUAAGAUCAAUCUUCUCCAUCUAUCCUUUCAACCCUCUCUCUCUCUCUCUCUCUCUCUCUCUCUCUCUCUCUCUCUCUCUCUCUCUCUCUCUCACGAUUUAGUCUUCUCCAUCUAUCCUUUGAAUCGUUAAACCUAAAAUUACAAAGUCUUCAGCCUCUUACGAUUCAACCUGUCUGGAUACAAACCUCUCUCUCUAUCUCUAUCUCUCUCAAUCGGCCAUGAUGAAAGCUUCGUUGACAACGUUUGACUCGAGUCAGAUUCGAGCCACAAACAGAGAUGGCGAGUGACAAACAAAGAUGGCGAACAGCGCUGGUGGCAAGGCAGAAGACGGCUGUCCUUCAUAAGUAGAGGGGGAAGUCUCAGCCUCUCUUUGCCAUGGACCUCUCCGUUUAAGCUCUCUCUCUCUCUCUCUCUCUCUCUCUCUCUCUCUCUCUCUCUCUCUCUCUCUCUCUGAUUUUGUUUUGAUUUUGGUACAUGAAGUGGGUCGUGAGCAGAGUUGGUUUGAUUGUUUUGUCUCCGAAGUUUAAUCAUUUAUACGAGUGAUUAGGAUGUGUUUUUGGAUUUGGAAAAAGAUUUCAACUUUGAUUAAGAAAAGCUAUGUGAGUUUCUUGCUUUGCUCAUAGCUUUCAUUGCAAUCUGAUGCGUAUGGUCUUCUUUUGUUUUGAUAUUUUCUGCAGGUAAUCUGAACAGGCUGCCAAGUCCCAAGCCGAGCUUCUUCAGACCUUGACUAAUGCUAAUGCUUAACUUUCGAGAAAGAGUGGUACAAAAAUUUAGCUGUGACAUCUCAAGCCAUGGAAGAAAGCUAGUCGGAGAUGGCAGAGAAAGCUGGCGGCGGCGGCGGCGGUGGUGGUGUAGGUGAACCCGAACAAGAAAAGAAGAAGAGAAGAAAGAGACGUAGAGAUGUAGGUUUUGGUUUAUUAGGUUUUGUUUAGAUUUUUUGGUUAUUAAACUUUUGGUUUAUUUAGGUUUGGUUAAUUAGGUUUUGGUUUAAUUUUUUUGGUUUGAUGUAUAAACUGAUUUUGUGUGUAAACAAUUUUUAAUUAAUGAAUAAAAUUUAACUUUUAAA